rnacentral:rRNA from 1 species
AUGGCGGUGUGGAACGGGACGGGAUCGGGACGGGGGGCCCCUGACCGGUUCCCCACACAUCCGUGCCGUUUUUGCUGGGGCGACGAGCGCACGCAGCGUACCGCGUGUCCAACCCCGCCCCGGUUUACCCGAUCCAUCCGCGGCGCCUCCCCCGCUUUCCGCCGUCGCUUUCUUGGUCGAUCUCGUGAAAAGGGACGCAUAUCAUGUCAGAAAAAGAAAGAAAGAAAAGGGAUGCAUAUCCGUUCACGGCCCGUCGACGUGUACGGGUCGACGUUGUGCGCCUGCCGUCCGUUGUGGCGGUCGACGGUGCCUAUCCGCACAACGGGCCCUCCACGUGCCCUCCUGCCCGGCUGUUGCUUCUGCUUUUUUUUUUCAGUUUGUUUGGAUAGCUCGUCUAUCCAAUUCCAAUCCAACUGGUCUUCUAAAAAUAAGCUUUUCUGUGCUGUUUUGUUUUCAGUCAGUCAGUCAGUUGUGCGUGUGAGUUGUGGGAGCCGAGGAACAGACGGAUACGUAUCGUAUACGCCAUGUUUGCGACAGUGCGGGCGCGCUGUUGAUUGCAGGUGGCGAAAGGACGCGUCAGGUUUUAUGUGGUGGCUGUUGUGUGAUCGGGGAGGGCGGAACGGCAGCCGCAAAGCCAUGAAUGAACGCGUGGAAUUGGUUUGGAUAGAAACGGGAAGGGUGGCCGCAAAGCGGUGGCUGUCCAUCGAGGCGAAGGGUGCCCGCGGGUGGAUCGGCCGACGCGCGUUCGUGUGGCCGGAUGGGCGGACAGGUGUGUGUGUGUGCCGCGGAGGAGCCUUUUUGAAGAGGCACCGUGUUGAAACAUUUCAAGGGCGUUUUACUCAAGAGUUACCAUCUGGCGCAGCAAGUCGCGAUUCCGCUGAUAAGCAAUCGAGAGGUAAAGGGCGCGAUUCCGCUGAUAAGCAAUCGAGAGGAGGAUUAUACUACCUUACUAUUGUAUUGUACUUGCUUUAA